GUGAGGAAUUUUCCGCAAUGGGCGAAAGCCUGACGGAGCAAUGCCGCGUGAAGGAUGAAGGCCUAUGGGUUGUAAACUUCUUUUCUCAGAAAAGAAUUAUGACGGUAUCUGAGGAAUAAGCAUCGGCUAACUCUGUGCCAGCAGCCGCGGUAAGACAGAGGAUGCAAGCGUUAUCCGGAAUACUUGGGCGUAAAGCGUCUGUAGGUUGUUUAAAAAGUAUUCUGUCAAAGAUUAGGGCUUAACCCUAGAUAGGCAGAAUAAACUUUUAAGCUAGAGUGUGGUAGAGGCAGAGGGAAUUCCGGGUGGAGCGGUGAAAUGCGUAGAUAUCGGGAGGAACACCAAAGGCGAAGGCACUCUGCUGGGCCAAUACUAACACUGAGAGACGAAAGCGAGGGGAGCAAAUGGGAUUAGAAACCCGGGUAGUCC
rnacentral:rRNA from 1 species